rnacentral:rRNA from 1 species
UACGUAGGGUGCAGGCGUUAAUCGGAAUUACUGGGCGUAAAGCGUGCGCAGGCGUUUGCUAAGACAGGUGUGAAAUCCCCGGGCUUAACCUGGGAACUGCGCUUGUAACUGGCAAGCUGGAGUGUGGCAGAGGGGGGUGGAAUUCCACGUGUAGCAGUGAAAUGCGUAGAGAUGUGGAGGAACACCGAUGGCGAAGGCAGCCCCCCUGGGCUAAGCAUGAUGACGCUCAUGCACGAAAGCGUGGGGAGCAAACAGG